rnacentral:lncRNA from 1 species
CUAAUCUACCAGCAGAAUAAUUCUGUGUACCACCUUCUUCCUCAGUUAGACUCUUCCCUGUGUUUGUAAUACAUAAUACAUCUGAAUGUCUUCCUGAAAGGCUGAAGGGCAGCCAUUGGAUUCCAAGCCACUGCAUCAGCAGCCACCCAUCCAGCACAGGCUCAGAAGGCAGUCAGCACUACUCCAAGCCUCUUACUGGCAUAUGCCACACACAAACAUUCCAGUUACUGCUUCCUGUGGCCACCAGCUUGUGUUCCAGACAAAGAAUCCAGUUUCCAACAAAUAAAAUAAUAUUUUCUUUCCUAUUCAGGAUCCCAGGUUUGAACUGAGAGCCCCAACUGCAGUAAAGGGAUACUCUUUAGUCUGAUCUGGACUUAAUGCCAUGGUUAUAGUAGGUUUGCUAACAGUGCAGUGCAGAUGCUUUAAUAAUUUUCAGGCCUCCUUAAAGACCACAGUAUCUCCUUGUCACCCUGCUGAUGACAAUGGUCAUUGUCAUGGUCCUUCUUUAUAUCCAGGCUGCACUGACCACAGUUAAACAACUAAAAUGUGUCUUCCCAAACCUUGUCACUGACUGGAUAUCUUAUGCCUGGAAGCACAACCAUACUUUAUCCUAUGUAAAAUAAAUGUGCUGGUUUGGGUUUUUUUUCUUCAUGUCCAGUUCCCGUGGAGCUUCCUUUUCUAUGAGUUACAUAAUUUAGUGGCUUCAGGAGGUUCUUUUAUCUUUUUCAGUCAAGCCCAAAGAAAUGCAUAACAAUUAUUAAGGGAAGACAUAAAAUUAUUCAUGCUGUGUGUGGCAAAUGGGUGAAGAUUAUCAGUAAUACAUUCAGGAAAAUUACUUUUGUUCAUGAUAGAAGCACUAUAAAGUCUAAGAUAUUAUUUGUUUUCUAGUAAAGAUCUGAGCUUGAUGCCUAUUUAAAACACAUUGUUUUAAUUUCAUUAACAACAUUUUUUGAUGAUGAAUAAUCUUACAGAAAACUCACAGCUAUUUCUUAUUAUACUAAAGUCUCUUAAAAUUGAAAGGAAACUUAAAAUUGGGAAUUGUUUAAACCACAGUACAUCAAAACCUUUACAG